rnacentral:rRNA from 1 species
CCUACGGGAGGCAGCAGUGAGGAAUAUUGGUCAAUGGACGAGAGUCUGAACCAGCCAAGUAGCGUUAAGGAUGACUGCCCUAUGGGUUGUAAACUUCUUUUAUCUGGGAAUAAAAUGUCCCACGUGUGGGAUUUUGUAUGUACCAUAUGAAUAAGCAUCGGCUAACUCCGUGCCAGCAGCCGCGGUAAUACGGAGGAUCCGAGCGUUAUCCGGAUUUAUUGGGUUUAAAGGGUGCGUAGGUGGAUGGUGAAGUCAGUGGUAAAAGUGCGGGGCUCAAACCCUUCCCGCCAUUGAAACUGGCGGUCUUGAGUGGGAGAGAAGUAUGCGGAAUGCGUGGUGUAGCGGUGAAAGGCAUAGAUAUCACGCAGAACCCCGAGUGCGAAGGCAGCAUGCCGGCUCCCGACUGACGCUGAGGCACGAAAGCGUGGGGAUCGAACAGGAUUAGAUACCCUUGUAGUC